GGCGGGUGAGCGGCACGAAUUCCUGGCCGUCCGCCUCCUACCACGGCUGGCCGUGGUCUCCGAGCGCUCGCCCCACAGCGCCCCAGCACCCGAGGACAGUGCCGUGGCCCACACGUCCGUCCACCGGCACCAGCCCCAUGGCCGAGCGCGGGGAACUCGAUCUCACCGGUGCCAAGCAGAACACCGGCGUGUGGCUGGUCAAGGUUCCCAAAUAUUUGUCACAGCAGUGGGCUAAAGCCCCUGGCAGAGGUGAAGUCGGAAAGCUGCGGAUUGCCAAGAAUCAAGGAAGGACUGAGGUGUCAUUUACUUUGAAUGAAGAUCUUGCAAAUAUUCAUGAUAUUGGUGGGAAACCAGCUUCAGUCAGUGCUCCCCGAGAACAUCCAUUUGUUUUGCAAAGUGUUGGAGGACAGACCCUAACAGUAUUCACCGAGAGCUCAUCAGAUAAACUGUCUUUGGAAGGAAUCGUGGUCCAAAGAGCUGAAUGCCGCCCUGCUGCCAGUGAGAACUACAUGAGAUUAAAGAGGUUGCAAAUAGAGGAAUCUUCCAAACCUGUAAGACUAUCACAACAACUGGAUAAAGUUGUAACAACCAAUUACAAACCUGUUGCUAAUCAUCAACACAAUAUUGAAUAUGAAAGGAAGAAGAAGGAAGAUGGAAAGCGAGCUCGAGCUGAUAAGCAGCAGGUGUUGGACAUGCUGUUUUCAGCCUUUGAGAAGCAUCAGUAUUACAACCUGAAGGACCUGGUGGACAUCACCAAGCAGCCCGUGGGCUACCUGAAGGAAAUCUUGAAAGAAAUUGGUACUCAGAAUGUAAAAGGGAUCCACAAGAACACGUGGGAGCUGAAGCCGGAAUACAGACACUACCAAGGAGAAGAGAAGAGCGAGUAGACCUGCGCGGGGCAGACCUGCUGGUGGAGCCGCUGCGAGCUGAGCCGAGGCCGCAGUGCUGCUUCCCAACUCCGAGCACCCGGCUCGCUGCCAGCCUGUUUCUCUUGAACUCUUGCUCUAAAAAUGACUAAAGCAGGACUCCAAAGCCCUGUGGUUGCUGUGAGGGGUGCUCCAGUCCGCAUUGGCCACAGCGGGGAAAGGCGGGGGGAGGCUUCCAAGGAAGAUGUACAUCUCUGGUAAGGUGCCCCGUCCUAAGAGGACCGCAUUUAAUAGGUGAGCUGGUUAAGCUCAGUACAUACGGGGGUGUUUUAAAUGUCAUAUGAUUAUGGUUGCUCAGCCUUGGGAAGAUCUGAGAUUGUUGCCACAGUAACUUCUAGCGUGAUAAAUCUCAACAGGUGAACGUUAUGCUCUGCUGUGUCGUGGAUGGCUCUUACAGGUUUCAGCAGAGUUGUGGUUGCUCAUAAUGGUCUGUGAAAAAGUUUUCAUAGGAAUUUGUUUUUAUCAUUGCUUGUGAGAACUAGAAAGUGUUGGUGUUAUGGAACUGUUUCUUACUCAACAUACGUCAUGAGCGCUGGACACUCUUGGGUUAAAAUCUCCCCGUGGGACAAAAUCAGAGUGUCCUUUACCAGAAUUUUUGUCCCCACCCCCCAGUCCAGCUCCCAAGC